rnacentral:rRNA from 1 species
CAAUAGCGUAUAUUUAAGUUGUUGCAGUUAAAAAGCUCGUAGUCGGAUUUUGGCUGAGAACGAUCGGUCCGCCGUUAGGUGUGCACUGAUUGGUCUCAGCUUCCUGGUGAGGAGGUGUGCUUCACGGCCACUUAGUCACCGUGGUUACUUUGAAAAAAUUAGAGUGUUCAAAGCGGGCUUACGCUUGAAUAUAUUAGCAUGGAAUAACACCAUAGGACUCCUGUCCUAUUUCGUUGGUCACGGGACGGGAGUAAUGAUUAAGAGGAACAGUUGGGGGCAUUCGUAUUUCAUUGUCAGAGGUGAAAUUCUUGGAUUUAUGAAAGACGAACUUCUGCGAAAGUAUUUGCCAAGGAUGUUUUCAUUGA